ACGAACGCUGGCGGCAGGCUUAACACAUGCAAGUCGAGCGCCCCGCAAGGGGAGCGGCAGACGGGUGAGUAACGCGUGGGAAUCUACCCAUCUCUACGGAAUAACGCAUGGAAACGUGUGCUAAUACCGUAUACGUCCUUCGGGAGAAAGAUUUAUCGGAGAUGGAUGAGCCCGCGUUGGAUUAGCUAGUUGGUGGGGUAAAGGCCUACCAAGGCGACGAUCCAUAGCUGGUCUGAGAGGAUGAUCAGCCACACUGGGACUGAGACACGGCCCAGACUCCUACGGAGGCAGCAGUGGGGAAUAUUGGACAAUGGGCGCAAGCCUGAUCCAGCCAUGCCGCGUGAGUGAUGAAGGCCCUAGGGUUGUAAAGCUCUUUCACCGGUGAAGAUAAUGACGGUAACCGGAGAAGAAGCCCCGGCUAACUUCGUGCCAGCCGCCGCGGUAA
rnacentral:rRNA from 2 species